GAGUUUGAAGGAGAAGAAGAAUAUCUGGAGAUCCUUGGCAUCACCAGGGAGCAGUCAGGCAAAUAUGAGUGCAAAGCUGCCAAUGAAGUCUCCUCAGCGGAUGUGAGACAAGUGAAGGUCACUGUGAACUAUCCUCCCACUAUCACAGAAUCUAAGAGCAAUGAAGCCACCACAGGGCGGAAAGCUUCACUCAAAUGUGAGGCCUCGGCAGUGCCUGCGCCUGACUUUGAGUGGUACCGGGAUGACACCAGGAUAAACAGUGCUAAUGGCCUUGAGAUUAAGAGCACGGAGGGCCAAUCCUCCCUGACAGUGACCAACGUCACUGAAGAGCACUAUGGCAACUAUACCUGCGUGGCUGCCAACAAUCUGGGGGUCACCAAUGCCAGCCUAGUCCUUUUCAGGCCUGGGUCGGUGAGAGGAAUAAAUGGAUCCAUCAGUCUGGCCGUACCACUGUGGCUGCUGGCAGCAUCUCUGCUCUGCCUUCUCAGCAAAUGUUAAUAGAAUAAAAAUUUAAAAAUAAUUUAAAAAACACACAAAAAUGCGUCACACAGGAUAC